rnacentral:rRNA from 1 species
UACGUAGGGUGCAAGCGUUGUCCGGAAUUAUUGGGCGUAAAGAGCUCGUAGGCGGUCUGUCGCGUCUGCUGUGAAAACCUGGGGCUUAACCCCGGGCCUGCAGUGGGUACGGGCAGACUAGAGUGCGGUAGGGGAGACUGGAAUUCCUGGUGUAGCGGUGAAAUGCGCAGAUAUCAGGAGGAACACCGAUGGCGAAGGCAGGUCUCUGGGCCACUACUGACGCUGAGAAGCGAAAGCAUGGGGAGCGAACAGG